rnacentral:piRNA from 1 species
CCACUUGUGUCUGUGCCCACUAGGGUCU